rnacentral:misc_RNA from 1 species
UUUUUUUUUUUUUUUACUUUUGAAAUCAAGAUCAUAUUUCUUUCUGUGUCUCAGCUGCUCUGAUCGAUCAAUCAUUAUUUCUUUGCGCAUCAUUCGAGGAUAUGUUGGUUAAUAUUGACAAAUUUGGGAUUUUGGGUCCCAAAAUUUGAUGGCUUUUGUACAUUGUGCUGUUCGUUUCGUCAUAUUUGUUAAUCGUCUACUCGAUCUCGUCAGACCCAUCAAGGUGUUAGUUCUAUUUCCGUAAUUUGAUCUACUCUGGUGCCUUUCUGAAGAUUUUGGCACUUUACUCUUUGCAUGUUCUGUUGGAUUUUGAGCUUGUUUUAUCUCCUUUAGAUCAUUUAGUGCAGUAGAUACGUGGGGUUAUAAAAUUUUCUGAAGUUUACAUUCAAACCUCAAAAGGGUUUUAUUUUGAAGAUUUGGGCACGGUUAAUUUUGUUCGCUUGCUGGGUUCUGAGCUCGUUCGAGGUGUUUUUUUAUUAAGUUAUGAGAGAUUGCUGGGUUUUGUAGGGUAUUUUAAUUUAUCUGGUUUUUUCUGGGCGUUAUAAAAUGAAGAGGUUAAAAAGUGAACCUCCUAGUGGGAGGAGGUGUAAAUUGUCACAUUUCUUGCUGGGUAUAGGAGCAUUAUACUUGGUUUUUUUAGCAUUUAAAUUUCCACACUUUUUAGAGAUUGCAGCAAUGUUGAGUGGAGAUGACAGUUAUGUUGGAUUGGAUGCGGCUGCAGCAGAAGAUAUGGAUGAUUCGGAUUUAAGCAAACCAAUUUUCAGUUCUGUUUAUAAGGAUACAUUCCACCGGAAAUUGGAAGAUAACCUAAACCAAAAUGCACCAAGGAUGCCUAGUAAGGAACCUUUGCAAGAAGUAAAAGAAGUGUCUAAGCCUAUAAAACCUCUUCAGCAUCGAUAUGGUCGGAUAACAGGUGAAAUUAUGAGACGAAGGAAUAGAACCAGUGAUUUAUCAAUGCUUGAGAGACUAGCAGACGAGGCCUGGACUUUGGGUUUGAGGGCAUGGAAAGAAGUAGAGAAUUAUGAUGGAAAGGAGCUUGCACAAAAUUCUGUAUUUGAGGGGAAGUCUGAGUCAUGCCCCUCAUGGGCAUCCAUGAGCGGGGAGGAAUUGGCUGGGGGGGAUAAGAUGAUGUUCCUUCCAUGUGGUUUAGCUGCAGGUUCUUCUAUAACAGUGGUGGGAACACCUCAUUAUGCACAUGAGGAGUAUGUGCCUCAGCUAGCUAGGUUGAGGCGUGGUGAUGGAAUUGUUAAAGUUUCACAGUUUAUGAUUGAGUUGCAAGGGCUAAAGGCAGUUGAUGGGGAGGAUCCACCAAAGAUUCUACAUUUGAAUCCUCGGUUAAGAGGAGAUUGGAGUAAGCGACCGAUUAUUGAGCAUAACACCUGCUAUAGGAUGCAAUGGGGGACAGCUCAGAGGUGUGAUGGUUUGCCAUCCAAAAAUGAUGAAGACAUGCUGGUUGAUGGAUUUAUGAGAUGUGAGAAAUGGAUGCGGAAUGACAUUGUCGAUUCAAAAGAGUCCAAGACAACUUCAUGGUUCAAGAGAUUCAUAGGGCGCGAACAGAAGCCAGAAGUGACCUGGCCGUUUCCUUUUGUGGAGGGAAGAUUGUUUAUCUUGACAUUGCGUGCAGGUGUUGAUGGCUAUCAUAUUAAUGUUGGGGGUCGGCAUGUCACCUCAUUUCCAUAUCGUCCGGGAUUUACCAUUGAAGACGCAACAGGAUUAGCAAUCAAAGGAGAUGUGGACAUUCAUUCAGUUUAUGCCACCUCUCUUCCUAGUACUCAUCCAAGUUUCUCUCCUCAAAGGGUGUUGGAAAUGUCGGAGAAGUGGAAAGCUCUUCCUUUACCAAAGAGUCCUAUUCAACUUUUCAUUGGGAUUCUUUCUACUACAAAUCACUUUGCAGAACGUAUGGCAGUGAGAAAAACUUGGAUGCAAUCAUCACCAAUCAAGUCUUCAAAUGUAGUAGUUCGUUUCUUUGUUGCUUUGAGCCCCAGGAAGGAAGUGAAUGCAGUGUUGAAGAAAGAGGCUUCUUAUUUUGGUGAUAUUGUGAUAUUGCCAUUUAUGGAUCGCUAUGAACUUGUGGUUCUUAAAACUGUUGCUAUUUGUGAGUUCGGUGUUCAGAAUGUUUCUACUGCAUAUAUCAUGAAAUGUGAUGACGACACAUUUGUUAGGGUGGACACUGUCCUGAAGGAAAUUAAUGGUAUAUCUCCCAAAAAGUCUCUUUAUAUGGGCAAUCUCAACCUCUUACAUCGACCGCUGAGAACUGGAAAAUGGGCAGUCACUUUUGAGGUUUUCUUUCUACUUCUUUCCAUUUUCUUCUAGUGAUAAAUUUGAUCUAGGGAAGGGAGAGGGGUGAAUGGGGAAAAUUUGUUAGAAACUAUCAAUAAAACAUAAAUCCAGUGAUAUUAUUUUUAGUAUCUCAGUUAACAUAACAUUAUGCAUUAGUGAGAAGCGGUGAAAGAAGUUCUAAUUUCUUAUCUCUGUGCAAAAUCGCUUGCUGUACAAAAAACAAUUUUGGUAUCAGCAGUUGCAACUUUGGCAUUACUUGGAUCGGUUGUCGCCAUCAUUUGCAACCUUCAUAUUUGAAGGGGGAUUCUUGGCUGCAUUUCUAACAUUGUUUGAAGAGUUGCCUUGGUAUUUAUUUCCUACAAUUGUAACUCUAAAUCAAAUUUGGCAAUACAUAAAAUGAAACAAGUAUGGGUCCAGAAACUUCUGUGAGGUAGAAAUGACAUAGGACAGAUUUGAAUGUGCUUUUUAUAGGCUGGGAAAAUUGUGGUCAAGGGUUUGGAAUUGAAAGAUAAAUUGGUUGCUUCUUAUAUCAAAAUGCAACCAAGAGGUAGGAGCAUGCAUACACAACAAAAACAAGAACAAGUAGGCAAGACAAGACAAGAGAGAGAACUCAUUUUGCAUGCAUGCCUUCAACUGCAAAUUAAAAGACUUAUAUUUCAUUUAAUAAAAAUUCUUGCAAAUUAAAGAGUUUGUUAAUGUCUAUAGAUUUUCACACUUUUUCUAAGUACGUAAAAGCUUACUUUGAACUCGAGGAAACAAUUCUAAAAUUCCUAGAAAUCACUAGUAUACUCUUGUUUAAAAAAUUGUACAAACUAAAAACAUAACGGAAUUCCUGAAAUUACAGAUUUGUGCCUGCUUACAAAGUUACAUAUCACUAAAACUAAUAAUAUGGUACUCAACUCAACUAGGCCUUAGUCUCAAAAUCUAAUCUAAAAGUAUAAACAUUCUUUAUCCCUACGUUAUUUCUUAAAUUUGACUGGAUUUUUACCUGAUGUGACAGGAGUGGCCAGAAGCGGUAUAUCCUCCUUAUGCCAAUGGGCCUGGAUAUGUAAUUUCCAGUGACAUUGCUAAAUUUGUCAUUUCGCAACAUGACAAUCAAAGCCUGAGGGUUAGUGAUACUUUAAUUUUAUCUGAUAUCAUCGUCAGGACUCAGGAGUGGAAUAGCCUCUUUCUAUCUCUACUUCUUCCUUGUUAAUCAUUGCCCUUUGUUCAGUUUGCUUGGUUCCUAAAAGUGUAUAUUGUUACAUUCUGGUUGCAGCUUUUCAAAAUGGAAGACGUCAGUAUGGGAAUGUGGGUUGAACAAUUUAACAGUUCCAAGCCCGUGCAGUAUUCCCACAAUUGGAAAUUUUGUCAGUACGGAUGCAUGGAGAACUAUUACACUGCACAUUAUCAAUCCCCAAGACAAAUGAUCUGUCUGUGGGACAAGCUGGCGAGAGGUAGAGCUCAUUGUUGCAACUUUAGAUGAUGACUGCCUUACCACAAGUCCUCCAGAAGAUAACAGCAGGCCACACUGCAUUAGCUGAUCAGAACUCAUCUUCUUGUUCCUGUCUCCCCACAUGUUGCUGAUUCUUGUGCAUUUAAGUGGGUUGCAGAGAUGGCAGUGUAUUGAGUUACAGCCAUUAUUUUGGAAGAACGUGGACUGUUUCAUGUUGUAAUCGAGAAUGAUUCAUACUUAGGUCAACGCAUUUUGGCUUGAACUAAAAGCAGAGAAAAUUUGUAGAAGUAUAUUUGUAUAUCUUGUAUGACGUACGCUCAAAUUUGGUUGGCAAGUGGCAGCAAGAAGCCUUAAAAUCAAUCCAACUUUGACUUAACAAUAUUUUCCUUUUCUUUCAGAUGAUCUCCCACUUUUUUUAUGAACAUUGUUCACCAUUAG